UGUUUCCUGAAGGAAGGAGCAGAGGUCCGAUAUCAGAACAAAAGAUGAAGGGCUCCACGUUUUGCCUAAUUGGAAUAACUGAGAUGGUGAGGAGUUUGGGAGCUGAGUCACCUGAGAUUCCCAGUGAAGACCUUCUUUUUCCGAAGGUCCUUGGGUUGGAACAAUGCUCAGCUAGAAAGGAAGUGAUGUCAUUAUAUCAUAUAUCAAUUUCAUGAUUGCAAUUUACCUUAAAAAAGAUUAAAAGCAGAACAUCCAAAACAUUGAUGGUUUCUUCAGUCUUUAAAAUUACAUAGUUAGUGUGGCUCAUGUGGCUUAAUGCUCUUCCUGAUGAUGAGCUGAGCCAGAAAGCACUGUACAGCCAACUACAGGACCAGAGGGAGCAGAACGAGGGGAGACUAGAAGAUCUCCAACUUGUGCUGUGUGUGGAAUAGUAGGAUUGUGUGUAAGGAGUUCUUGUAGUACUCAGAAAUAACACAACUGGCAAACAAACUCAAUGCUCUCCUGACCCUUGUGAAUGUGAGUAACUCAGGC
rnacentral:lncRNA from 1 species